GUGAAGUUUAAUGUUGCCAAUGGAGGUC
rnacentral:piRNA from 1 species